UAAGACAUGCAAGUCGAAUGAAACCGCUGGGUUUCAUGGCAUACUGCUCAGUAACAAGUGAUCAACUUACCCUUCAGUGGGGCAUACCCUCGGGAAACUGAGGCUAAUUCCCCAUAGUUGGAGCAGCCUGGAAGGGUUCUCCAUCGAAAGAUAUCCCGAAAUGCCGGGUGUUCGCUGAAGGAUAGGAUCGCUCUCGAUUAUGGUAGUUGGCGAGGUAAUGGCUCACCAAGCCUAUGAUCGAUAAGGGCCGUGAGAGCGGAAGCCCUGAGAUGGGUACUGAGACAAUGACCCAGGCCUUACGAGGCGCAGCAGUCGCGAAACCUUUACAAUGCACGAAAGUGUGAUAAGGUUACCCGGAGUGCCAGGAGAGAAACUGCUGGCUGUUAUGGGAGUGUAAAUAACCCCAUGAGAAAGGAGAGGGCAAGGCUGGUGCCAGCCGCCGCGGUAAAACCAGCUCUUCAAGUGGUCGGGACUUUUAUUGGGCUUAAAGCGUCCGUAGCCGGUUUGGUAAGUUCCUGGUAAAAUCUGGCAGCUUAACUGUCAAUUCGCUAGGAAUACUACCUUACUAGAGGGCGGGAGAGGUCUGAGGUACUCCAGGGGUAGCGGUGAAAUGCUCUAAUCCUUGGGGGACCACCAGUGGCGAAGGCGUCAGACUGGAACGCGCCUGACGGUGAGGGACGAAAGCCAGGGGAGCGAACGGGAUUAGAUACCCCGGUAGUCCUGGCUGUAAACGAUGCGUGCUGGGUGUUGGUAGGGCUUUGAGCCGUAUCAGUGCCGUAGGGAAACUGUUAAGCGCGCCGCCUGGGAAGUACGCUCGCAAGGGUGAAACUUAAAGGAAUUGGCGGGGGAGCACCACAAGGGGUGAAGCCUGCGGUUCAAUUGGAGUCAACGCC
rnacentral:rRNA from 1 species